GCCAUUUUUGGUAAGCAGAA
rnacentral:snRNA from 1 species